rnacentral:rRNA from 1 species
AUUGAACGCUGGCGGCAGGCCUAACACAUGCAAGUCGGACGGUAGCACAGAGGAGCUUGCUCCUCGGGUGACGAGUGGCGGACGGGUGAGUAAUGUCUGGGGAUCUGCCCGAUAGAGGGGGAUAACCACUGGAAACGGUGGCUAAUACCGCAUAACGUCGCAAGACCAAAGAGGGGGACCUUCGGGCCUCUCACUAUCGGAUGAACCCAGAUGGGAUUAGCUAGUAGGCGGGGUAACGGCCCACCUAGGCGACGAUCCCUAGCUGGUCUGAGAGGAUGACCAGCCACACUGGAACUGAGACACGGUCCAGACUCCUACGGGAGGCAGCAGUGGGGAAUAUUGCCCAAUGGGCGCAAGCCUGAUGCAGCCAUGCCGCGUGUAUGAAGAAGGCCUUCGGGUUGUAAAGUACUUUCAGCGGGGAGGAAGGCGAUGUGGUUAAUAACCGCGUCGAUUGACGUUACCCGCAGAAGAAGCACCGGCUAACUCCGUGCCAGCCGCCGCAGUAA